rnacentral:rRNA from 1 species
AUCCUGGCUCAGGACGAACGCUGGCGGCAUGCCUAAUACAUGCAAGUCGAGCGGACUUGAAGAGAAGCUUGCUUCUCUGAUAGUUAGCGGCGGACGGGUGAGUAACACGUAGGCAACCUGCCCUCAAGUUUGGGACAACUACCGGAAACGGUAGCUAAUACCGAAUAGUUGUUUUCUUCUCCUGAAGAGAACUGGAAAGACGGAGCAAUCUGUCACUUGGGGAUGGGCCUGCGGCGCAUUAGCUAGUUGGUGGGGUAACGGCUCACCAAGGCGACGAUGCGUAGCCGACCUGAGAGGGUGAUCGGCCACACUGGGACUGAGACACGGCCCAGACUCCUACGGGAGGCAGCAGUAGGGAAUCUUCCGCAAUGGGCGAAAGCCUGACGGAGCAAUGCCGCGUGAGUGAUGAAGGUUUUCGGAUCGUAAAGCUCUGUUGCCAGGGAAGAACGCUUGGGAGAGUAACUGCUCUCAAGGUGACGGUACCUGAGAAGAAAGCCCCGGCUAACUACGUGCCAGCAGCCGCGGUAAUACGUAGGGGGCAAGCGUUGUCCGGAAUUAUUGGGCGUAAAGCGCGCGCAGGCGGUCAUUUAAGUCUGGUGUUUAAUCCCGGGGCUC